rnacentral:rRNA from 1 species
AUUGAACGCUGGCGGCAGGCUUAACACAUGCAAGUCGAGCGAGUGGCGGAAGGGUGAGUAACGUAUGGGAACCUGCCUGGUGGAGGGGGAUAACUACUGGAAACGGUAGCUAAUACCGCAUAUCAUCCGAUCUGCCCAGGUGGGAUUAGCUAGUGGGUGGGGUAAUGGCUCACCUAGGCGACGAUCCCUAGCGGGUCUGAGAGGAUGACCGGCCACACGGGAACUGAGACAGGGUCCAGAUCCCUACGGGAGGCAGCAGUGGGGAAUAUUGCACAAUGGGCGCAAGCCGGAUGCAGCCAUGCGGGGUGUGGGAGGAAGGCCUUCGGGUUGUAAAGCACGUUCAGCGAGGAGGCGGUACUCGAAUAGAAAGCACCGGCUAACUCCGUGCCAGCAGCCGCGGUAAUUC